AAGUCCUUACUUCUAGGAAUCAUUUCUAAUCAUUUGUAAUUAGAGUAAUGCUUUUGAAACGUUUGCAUUACUAACCAUGAGGAGUUGAAACUUUCUCUUCUGGGAAAGUGAGCAGAUGGU
rnacentral:snoRNA from 1 species